rnacentral:rRNA from 1 species
AUUCCAGCUCCAAUAGCGUAUAUUAAAGUUGUUGCAGUUAAAAAGCUCGUAGUUGAAUUUUGGACCUGGUUGAAUGGUCCCGCCGCAAGGUGGGUACUGUUUGAUUGGGUCUUUCUUUGCGGGGAAUUAGUGUGCUCUUAAUUGGGUGCAUUAAGGAUCCGUAACUUUUACUUUGAAAAAAUUAGAGUGUUUAAAGCAGGCUUAGGCCUGAAUACAUUAGCAUGGAAUAAUAGAAUAGGACCUGUGUUCUAUUUUGUUGGUUUCUAGGACGUAGGUAAUGAUUAAUAGGGAUAGUUGGGGGCAUUCGUAUUUAACUGUCAGAGGUGAAAUUCUUGGAUUUGUUAAAGACGGGCUACUGCGAAAGCAUUUGCCAGGGAUGUUUUCAUCA